GCUCGGGUGGUGAAAUUGGUAUACACGCUGGUAUGAGGUACCAGUGCCGAAAGGCGUGGAGGUUCAAGUCCUCUCCCGAGCACAA
rnacentral:tRNA from 1 species